rnacentral:rRNA from 1 species
GUAGGUGGCAAGCGUUGUCCGGAAUUAUUGGGCGUAAGGCGCGCGCAGGCGGUUCUUUAAGUCUGAUGUGAAAGCCCACGGCUCAACCGUGGAGGGUCAUUGGAAACUGGAGAACUUGAGUACAGAAGAGGAAAGCGGAAUUCCACGUGUAGCGGUGAAAUGCGUAGAGAUGUGGAGGAACACCAGUGGCGAAGGCGGCUUUCUGGUCUGUAACUGACGCUGAGGCGCGAAAGCGUGGGGAGCAAACAGGGAUUAGAUACCCUGGUAGUCCACGCCGUAAACGAUGAGUGCUAAGUGUUAGGGGGGCUUCCGCCCCCCUUAGUGCUGCAGCUAACGCAUUAAGCACUCCGCCUGGGAGUACGGCCGCAAGGCUG